rnacentral:rRNA from 1 species
AACGUAGGAACCGAGCGUUAUCCGGAUUCACUGGGUGUAAAGCGCGUGCAGGUGGCUUCGUAAGUUGGACGUGAAAUCUCCUGGCUUAACUGGGAGAGGCCGUUCAAUACUGCGGGGCUUGAGGGCAGGAGAGGGAGGUGGAAUUCCCGGUGUAGUGGUGAAAUGCGUAGAUAUCGGGAGGAACACCAGUGGCGAAGGCGGCCUCCUGGCCUGCUCCUGACACUAAGACGCGAAAGCUAGGGGAGCGAACGGG